rnacentral:rRNA from 1 species
AUUGAACGCUGGCGGCAGGCCUAACACAUGCAAGUCGAACGAGUGGCGGACGGGUGAGUAUUGUCUGGGAACCUGCCUGAUGGAGGGGGAUAACUCCUGGAAACGGUAGAUAAUACCGCAUACCAUCGGAUGUGCCCAGAUGGGAAUAGCUAGUAGGUGGGGGAACGGCUAACCUAGGCGACGAUCCCUAGCUGGUCGGAGAGGAUGACCACCCACACUGUAAAUUAGUCACGGUCCAGACACCUACGUGAGUCAGCAGUGGGGAAGAUUGCACAAUGGGCACAAGCCUGAUGCAGCAAUGCCGGGUGUAUGAAGAAGGCCUUCGGGUUGUAAAGUACUUUCAGCGGGGAGGCGUUACCCGCAGAAGAAGUACCGGCUAACUCCGUGCCAGCAGGCGCGGUAAUUC